GCUAUCUCAGGCCUUAAGGAACUGCAUGGAAAGAACACUCAGGGGACUUUCAUAUGUUAGAUAUGGAGAUGUAUUUACAAAAUACCGUCCAUUUUCACAGAAUGAAGAGUUGUUCAGGAAGGGGCAACCAGUGGUUGAGUUCGUAUUUGCUGCUACCGAAGAGGCUAUCUUUGUCCACGUUAUUAUAUCUGCAAAGCAUAUACGAGCACUUUCAAGUGGUGACAUUGAUAAAAUAUCAGAGAAUACAUCUAAUGUCUCUGUCGAGGGGCUUCCAGUUAUUGUCUCACCUCAUGGAAUGCGUGGGAGGCUAACUGGAUGUUGCCCAGCUGAUCUUGUGAAACAAGUGUAUCUCGUUCUGGCAAGUUUAGCGCUUCAAAUGGUAUUGUUGGGCUACCAUGCAAUGUUUCUCAAUCUAGUUAUCAGCUUAAGGGACAGAAUUGCUAUGUUGAAGUUAACCUUGGUUCCACUGCACCGGGAAACAACAAUAUACAAGAAAGUUUGAACAUACAAAAUAAUUCAUCAAGGCCUACCAUGACAGAAGCCUCUGCAGUGGCCAAUUUUGUUCAGAGUAAAAUACCAGAUAACUGUGGAAGAGUGCUUAUUUACCCGCCCGAGGCCGUUCUUGUCCCAGUGGUGCAAACAGCGUGUGCUAGAUCAUCUCUGAAAAGAUUUUGGCUGCAGAACUGGAUUGGGCCCUCAUUGUCCUUUACAUCCUCCUUUAUGCAUUGUUUUGAUUUUCAUUGCGAUGCCAAAGUCAAUUCGGUGGAUGGUUCUUGGCUUGAUGCAAAUGUCAUACGCUCUAAUCGGCGUUAUAACAGUAGCAGUAACAGCAAUAGUAGUAGUGUUAGCAGCAUAAGUACCUCUUCUAGUGAUAGUGAUUACAAGACCUCAGGAACUGGUGAUCUUGAAGCAGAUGCUGAUUCUUUGAUGUGUAGGCAGUCUGGAUUAUCUUCUU
rnacentral:misc_RNA from 1 species